rnacentral:snoRNA from 1 species
ACUGGCUGAAAAUCACCCACAGCUGCGCCCGUGGCCGUUGGUGAGAUUCUGCACCCAGAGCCACAAAGGGCCUCAAUUCGCCGCCCACUGCCUCAGUGCUGGUGGCUGAAACCCAGCCCUCAACAGGC